ensembl:lncRNA
CUCCUCGCGUCUUCACAAGGUGUGUGAGCGCAGCUCUGUCUCCUCUUUGGAUGAGAGGUAUGCGCAUUCUUCCUUAUUUGGACGACUGGCUUCUCUGUGCCCCAACACAGCGACAGGCUGUACAAGACUCCAGAAUGCUUUUGAGACAUGUGCAGAAGCUGGGGUUUUCUGUGAACGAGAAAAAGAGCCGUCUGGUCCCAUCACAGGCCACUACGUUCAUAGGAAUGACCCUGAAUUCCUCUCUAAUGUCUGCCUCCCUGUCUCAGGAACGUGUGACGAACAUUCUGCAACUUUUGGCUCUCUUUCGCCCGGGGGUGUCUUUACAGUACGAGGUGGUCCUACGACUGAUAGGGAUGUUAACAGCAGCUACGGUGGUGAUCCCCUUGGGUUUACUCCACCUCAGACCACUCCAGUUAUGGAACAACAGUUUACGGCUAGAUCCCACCAGGCAUCGCCAUCGACUGGUUGUAAUUUCUCACCGUUGCAUAUGUGCGUUGAGGCGGUGGAGACAGUUAGAGUUUCUGAAGGCAGGAGUGCCCCUGGGUGUUGUUCCCUCUCGUCGGGAGUUGGUCACGACAGAUGCUUCCCUCACAGGAUGGGGGGCAACGUGGAAUCGGAGGGGUAUUUGUGGGCACUGGACACCGAUCCAGGCCACAGAGCAUAUCAACCUGCUAGAACUAAGGGCAGUGUUCUUGGCCCUAAAGUACUUCAUGCCGGUUCUGGCAGGCCGCCAUGUUCUCGUUCGGUCCGACAAUACCUCAACAGUGUUCCAUCUGAACCACCAGGGCGGCACAAGAUCCCGCAGGUCUCUACGGUUGACUCACGAGAUCCUGACAUGGUGUCAGCCACGACUUGCUUCACUGAGGGCAGCUCAUAUACCAGGAGUGUGCAACCAGACAGCGGAUGCUCUUUCCCGGGAUCAAGUACAUCCGGGAGAAUGGAGGCUUCAUCCAGAUGUAGUGCAGGAGAUCUGGCUACGAUUUGGGAGAGCAGAGGUGGAUCUUUUUGCUUCAGAGAGGACAACCCACUGCCGAUUAUGGUUCACAAGGACAGAGGUGUCCAGUCCACUGGGCCAGGAUGCGCUGUCUCACGAAUGGCCGGACUGCCUGCUAUAUGCGUUUCCACCUAUCCCUCUGUUAUGGGAGACGUUGCACAGGAUCUCGCUGUGCAAGCACAGAGUGUUACUUGUGGCACCACGGUGGCCAGCCAGACCAUGGUUUCCUUUGUUGCUGAGACUUCUGACAGGAAAUCCAUGGAAGCUUCCUCCCAGGAAGGACCUCCUCUCCCAGCUGGAGGGCAGUGUUUGGCACCCGGACCCGGCUCAUCUGCAGCUUUGGGUAUGGCCAUUGGGCUAAAUCCUUCCCUGGAGCAUUGUGAUCCUGCUGUUAUUCACACCAUCUCUAAUGCUAGGGCUUCUUCCACACGACAGAUUUAUGCCUCCCGUUGGAAGCUUUUUUCUGCAUGGUGUGAGGAACAGGGGUUUGAUCCUGCAACAUGUGAUAUUCCGAGUGUCUUAAGCUUUCUUCAACGUUUACUGGAGGAGGGAAAAGCAGCUUCCACAUUGAAAGUAUACGUUGCUGCGAUUUCUGCAUAUCAUGUUCCAGUUGGUGGCUCUUCUCUUGGCUCUCACAGUCUUGUCUGCAGUUUUCUGAAGGGAGCGCGCCGUCUGAACCCUGCUAGGAAUCCUCAUUUCCCUGUGUGGGAUUUGUCACUCGUGCUUGCUUUCCUGUGUUCACCCCAAUUUGAGCCCUUGCAAAGCAUUGACAUUAAAUGGAUGUCCUUGAAGACUUCUUUUUUGUUAGCUAUUGCUACUGCAAAACGAGUCAGUGAGUUGCAUGCACUGUCUGUUAGCGAACGUUGCUUGCGCUGGUUACCAGAUGACUCCGGGGUGGUUCUACGACCCAAUCCUUCUUUUCUUCCGAAGGUCCUUCUUCCUCAGUUCAUAAAUCAGCACAUUGAACUAGCCUCUUUUCAGACUUCUUCAGAGUCUGACUCAAGUGCCCAACUUUUGUGUCC